UCGACCUGAACUCAGGCGUGAGU
rnacentral:rRNA from 1 species